rnacentral:lncRNA from 1 species
AGAGAGCCGGAAGUGAGGGAGCUGGGAGCUGGGUCUCGGGAGGUGCUGUGCGGACCCGGGGUCGACCUCUGCCCAGUUGCCAGUCCCGCUGUCAGCAUGCGGGUCCGAGGAAGAGGCCCCCAGCAGGUCCAGGGCUGCAGCGUCAGCGCGUCGGUGGCUUGGGAGCGGGGUCUUGAAGACUGGUUACUCCACUUAAAGACCCUCUCGGGCCGGAGCCUUGGCGGUCAGCCCAGAGCUGCUUCUCUCUGCCUGGAAACUGGGCCAUGGAGGGCAUUGUCUCUCACGGAUGUCUAAUUUUUUCGUGGUUGCACACCUGGGAUGGCGAUUCUGCUUUAAAAAGCAGAGAGUUAAAUCCUAAAGCAUCUAUUGGAGCAAUUAUAAAACAAAAAGGAGAAACUCCUGGAUUUGUUGCAGAAAAGAUCAACAGCCAUCUGCGUGGGCAACGGGGAAAAGAAGGACUAGUUUGGUAGGCAGCUUAGCUAGGAUUUGCCCGUGAUUAAGCGUAUAGAGUGUCUGCCAGCUGCACUUAUCAGAAAAAACCACAGCGCCCUCCUCCUUCUCAAGAUGGGUGCAGUUCCGAGGUUUGGAGCUUAUUACUCAGGCAAGACAGAACUUAUUACUGCCUAGCAUGGAAUAACGGAAGGAACAUUGGACUUAACAGAGAAAGUACCUAAUCCUUCAGGUGUGACAUAGCGUCUCCGGGUAGUCUCUCAUCAGUAAAAUGAGAAUAUAAAUAUCUGCCUUCACAACAAAGUUGUAUAUUAGGUGUGAAAGGUCUUAAUUCUCUAAGGCGCCAAUCAAAUGAGAUAUCAUUAAUUGUAAUAAUCCUGUUCAUUCACAGCUGCGUAAGAGGAACUAUUGUUGUACUGCUGUUUGCAGAAAAGAAGAUACCUCUGUACUUGUAAAUUAGGGUGUCUCACAUCUUCUGAAUCACUACACAGAAAUCAGUUCCAACAACAGCCAGGAACUCAGACCCUGAACUUACCUCUCCUCAUAUCAUUUUGUAUGUUUAAGAUAUGUAUGAAUCUAGAAUUUGUAAAUUAAGGGCUGCCUGCUUAGUAAAAUCAUCUUGAAACUGAUUUAUCUUUUUAUAUUACUUCCAACUUCCAGUCUUAUUAAGAAUCAUUGCCUUCCUUUGGAACUGCCUUCAAACUUCAAAUUUUCUCUGUCCUUGAAAACCUCUUUUAAUCUCUACUCUGAAUACUCUGUACUUGAAGAGAGGUUGCUUGAACUAGUCAUCUUACACUUACAUGCUUUCAUUUUACUUUUUAUUUAUUUCUUUUUUUUUUUUUUUUUUCUUUGAGACAGUCUAGCUCUGUCGCCCAGGCUGGAAUGCAGUGGCACAAUCUCAACUCACUGCAACCUCCGCCUCCUGGGUUCAAGCUAUUCUCCUGCCUCAGCCUCCUGAGUAGCUGGGGCUACAGGCUAUUUUACUUUUUUAAAAAAGUAAUACUUAGAAAAAUUACCUGUCAGCGUUUUUGCUGAGAAAAUUAUCUUCACACCAAAACUUUUACUUGAGGGUUUAUAGCAGUUCUAUUCAUAACUGUCAAGCGCAGAAACAAAAUGUUCUUUAACGGGUGAACUGGUAAACAACCUGUGUUGCAUUCAUACAGUGAGAUAGUAAUUAGCAAUAAAAAGGAAUGAAUUACUGAUACCUGUCAACAAUGACAUUCUGGAAAAGGCAAAACUAUAGGGACAGAAAACAAAUCAGUAGUUACCAGUUGUGACUAGCGGGAAGGGAAUUGAUGACAAAAGAGCAUCAGAAGGCUUGUGGGGGUGAUGGAGCUAUUUUACAUCUUGCUUUUGGUGGUAGUGGUUACACAACUGCAUGUGUGUGCCAGCAGAACUGCACACUAACAUGGGUUAAUUUACUCUGGGAUAUCAAUAAAUCUGACUUAAGCAUGAGUAAAAUGGAAUAAAAAUUCUCAAAAGAUCAGUGUGAACAUCAAAACAGUUUAUGAAUAGUUAUGAAGUAUGGGCCACACACCAGCAGCAUUGGUGUCACAUCAGUGUUACUGUGAAAAUCAAAGCGUUUAUGAAGUGUGGGCCACAGACCAGCAGCAUCAGUGUCACUUGGGAGCUUGUCAGAAAUAAUCUCAGGCCUGCCCAAGCCCACUAAGUAAGAAUUGCACUUAUACAAGAACCCUGGAUGAGCAUUUCAUAAAGUUUGAAAAGCACAGCUAGUAUGAAGCAAACCACUCGAAGUGCAACCUGUUACCUGUCUGCAAUGAGUCAGACAUUGAGAGGAAGGAUUUAGAAACUUUAUAGCAAUUUGAUAAAGUAAUUUUGUUAUAUCUAAUAAUAAAACUCAGAGCUUGUCUUUUUAAUUUC